rnacentral:rRNA from 1 species
AUUGAACGCUGGCGGCAGGCCUAACACAUGCAAGUCGAGCGGAGUGGCGGACGGACGAGUAAUGCCUAGGAAUCUGCCUGGCAGUGGGGGAUAACGUCCGGAAACGGGCGCUAAUAUAGCACACUAUUAGAUGAGCCUAGGGAGGAUUAGCUAGCUGGUGGGGUAAAGGCCUACCAAGGCGACGAUCCGUAACGGGACUGAGAGGUUGACCAGUGAAACUGGAACUGGGACACGGGCCCAGCUCGUACGGUAGGCAGCAGUGGGGAAUAUUGGAGAAUGGGCGAAAGCCUGAUCCAGCCAUGCCGCGUGUUUGAGGAAGGUCUUCGGAUUGUAAAGCACUUUAAGUUGGGAGGCGUUACCAACAGAGUAAGCACCGGCUAACUUCGUGCCAGCAGCCGCGGUAAUGC